rnacentral:misc_RNA from 1 species
GAUGAAGAACGCAGCGAAAUGCGAUAAGUAAUGUGAAUUGCAGAAUUCAGUGAAUCAUCGAAUCUUUGAACGCACAUUGCGCCCCUUGGUAUUCCGGGGGGCAUGCCUGUUCGAGCGUCAUUACAACCCUCAAGCUCUGCUUGGUCUUGGGCGUCACCGGUCCCCGGUGUGCCUUAAAAUCAGUGGCGGCGCCAUCUGGCUCUAAGCGUAGUACAUACUCUCGCUACAGACGUCCGGUGGAUGCUGGCCAGCAACCCCCAAUUUAUCAAGGUUGACCUCGGAUCAGGUAGGGAUACCCGCUGAACUUAAGCAUAUCUAUAAGCGGAGGA